UACGUAGGGUGCGAGCGUUGUCCGGAAUUAUUGGGCGUAAAGAGCUCGUAGGCGGUGUGUCACGUCGGCCGUGAAAACCUGCAGCUUAACUGUGGGCGUGCGGUCGAUACGGGCAUCACUGGAGUUCGGCAGGGGAGACUGGAAUUCCUGGUGUAGCGGUGAAAUGCGCAGAUAUCAGGAGGAACACCGGUGGCGAAGGCGGGGUCUCUGGGCCGA
rnacentral:rRNA from 1 species